rnacentral:lncRNA from 1 species
AGGAGGAGGAAGACAGACAGCCACCUGUGGACCACCAUGCUUUCCAAAGACAUGCCCUCCAGUGCACGGCCACAGGACACUCACAGCACAGAUGGAGGAUGUCACCCAGAGCCUGGACAGCUGCUUGGCCAGCCUACAGGAGGGAUCACCACAGUGUGCUAACAUGUGGUGAUCAGAUGGGAGAGAAAGAGAAGUGGGGCAGCUUGAGCAUUCAGAAGAGAGAUGGAACUGAUGGACUCGAGGAUGGAGAGGAGGAGCCUGUUGUGAGUGGCCAGCCCUGCCACCUGGGGCUAUAGUGUGGUCCCAGCCUGAGCUGUCACUGAGGGUCAUGUCUGAGGCUGUGACUAGGCAGCUACAGUGGUCAGUGUCGAUGCUGCCAGCUCAUAUUACCUCUAGAGAAUAUGGGGCUGUCCCUAGUCAGGGCAGUUUCCAGGAGCUACCUGCAUAUCCAGGGGCUAUGCAGAACUGGCCCUGUUCCUUAUUGGAUGCAGUGUUCAGGAGAGCUGGCCCCAUCUAUCACUGGAGGGCAGGCAGUACUCAGCAAAGCAGGUCCUGCACCUUACCUAGACAGCACUGUGGAGCUGUUUUUGGCAACAAGGUUGGAGGUGAGGCAGCCUCAAGGGAGUGAGUAUGGGACAGCUGACCCUGCCACUUGUCUGCCGUGGGCAGGGUGACCUAGGCUGGAGGGGGUGGGAUGCCCUUUGUCCCCUCACCUAUUGAUACCUGUAGCAAUCAAGACAGCUGACCCCGGGGGUCAUGAGAGCAGGUGAGCUAGGCCUGCCCCUCAGGAGAGUGGACUCUGCAUCUUAUCUGGGCAGCACAGUAGGGCUAACCCUAAUCGAGGUGGCACGGGGCAAGCCAACCCCAAGGGCGAAAGCAUAGGACCCUACCACUCAUCUGGUGUGAGGUGGUAUGGGUGUGGGGGUGAUGCCCUCUCUCUCCCCUGUCUCCUUCUACUGCCUCUGGAGGCGUGGGUGCAGGUGAGCCGGCCCUGAGGGCAGAAGAGCAGGAUCUUUGCUAAGAGGCACAGAUUACACGACAGUGAACCACCACCGAUGUUUCCAGAGCCUCCUGGAACUUCCUGUGUGACCAGCUCCUCAGCAGUAAGACAAGAGAGAAAGGAGGCUGGGAGUGUGAUAAAAUUGAACUGAGGCAAGAUCUUUCCAAAGAGGAAAUGGGGGUCAGGGGGCUGUCCAGGCAGGAAUGAAGAUACUCUGGAGAGGCACUUAUGGUUCCCCUUUGAAGGGCAGACUACUGAAGUGACAGUCCCCAGGAACUUGAACUCUCCCUCAGGGAUCUCCUGCUGGAGAAAGAAAAGCCUAAAGCCUGAUGCCAGAGGAAGGAUGCUGUCUCCCAGGAGGAGAUUUCAGACUGUCACACCACUUUGCAGGAGAGACUGGAGUUGACUAGGAUAGGUUGGGACCACAACCUCACUCUCUAUUUAAACCUAAACAUCAUGUGAAUACCUGCAAAGAUGAAGCUGGGAAGGGUCUAAAGACUUCUUUGAUUCUUUUCCCAAUGUGGCCACACAGACUACAUCUCUCAGUAUUUGCUUUGCACUAUCAAUUAUAUUGCUCAUUAAAUUAUUGGGAUGGUUGAGUGAAUAGAGUGGCUGUCCGCGUCCGACUUUGAUCCCAGCUUACCUAACAGUCAUACUGUGGUAGAAUGGCAGUAAAAGCUGUCAGGACUUAGGAAGAUGAAGAAGGUCCUGAUUCUAAGAUUAGUUUGCCUUCACCUAGGGCUGACAGUCAAACACUUCAUCCCAAAUGACAAACUCAAGGUUACCUACAAGUACAGCAUUCUGUUUCCUAGAGAUAGCUCAUAGAUGCUAAGAGCAGCAAAGCCUGUGUUGACAUAGAUGCAAUGUCUGUGACUUUUGAUUUUGCCCUCAUUAGCACCUCUCUCUUCCUAAAGUUCAGUGAUGAUCCUCAGAAAAGGACUCUGUAGUUUCAUUUACAAAAGGAAAUUCAUUACAAUAGGAGAAAUAAGGAAAUCAACUCAGAUUUUUUUUUACUUGAUUUUAAAACCUAGGGUAAGUUUACAACAUUGUUUGAAAAGUUUGCAGCUUUGUUUUAUCUUCAACCAGGUUGUAUAUUAUAUUCUUUGACAUGUUUCCAAGAGCCACAAAAAUCUCUCAUGAACAGAGACACCGACACAUAGACAGAGACACACAGACAGAGACAGACAGACACAUAGACAGGCAGACAGACACAGACAGAUACACAGACACACACACACACACACACAGACACACACACACACACACACACACACACACACACACACAGGUUAGGGAGGGAAGCUAAGAACUACUCUAAUUUUUGUUGUUGUUUUGAUACCUGUGUGUCUGUGUGUGUACCAUCCUGUUGCUCUCUGCUGUCCUCUCUUGAGGCAGAGGGUCUGUCGAACUAAGCCUGGACUUUAACAUUUCAAGGCUAUACUGGCUGGCUACCAAAUUCUAGCUAGGGCUAUCCUCUACCACUCAGCUAAGCUCUCCCUAUUCAUUAAGACACUUAGACAUGAGUCUCCUUCGUUAAGAGCCCUCAUUCAUGUCUUAAGUCUGUACUGUCCUUUUGAGGCAGGGUUUCUCUGUGUAGCCCUGGCUGUCCCGGAACACAUUCUGUAGACCAGACUAGCCUUGAACUCACAGAGAUGUGCUUGACUCUGCUUCCCUCAGGUUGGAAUUAAAGGCAUGUGGCUGUGCUGUCUUUUACUAAAGGUCUCCUUUUAUAAAUAUCCACUUUUAAUUUAAAUUGUGUAUUACCUUUUUAUCAUUACUUAAUAAACUCACCACAAUUGUUCCAUUCUGACUUGCCCC